GCACUAAUGUGGAGUCCCACAAUAGGACGAAACGGCCGUUCAGUGC
rfam:Schistosoma curassoni strain Dakar, Senegal genome assembly, scaffold: SCTD_scaffold0017037